UACGAAGGGGGCUAGCGUUGCUCGGAAUUACUGGGCGUAAAGCGCACGUAGGCGGCUUUCUAAGUCGGGGGUGAAAUCCUGGAGCUCAACUCCAGAACUGCCUUCGAUACUGGAAAGCUCGAGUCCGGGAGAGGUGAGUGGAACUGCGAGUGUAGAGGUGAAAUUCGUAGAUAUUCGCAAGAACACCGGUGGCGAAGGCGGUUCUCUGGGCAUUACCUGACGCUGGAGGAGCGAAAGCAUGGGGAGCGAACAGG
rnacentral:rRNA from 1 species